CCGUAGUUUCCUGCUGUCGUCUCUCCUCACGGAAGGACAACUGGACGGUGUCGGAUUCGCCUGUCGGACGAAACUGCCCCCGGAAAAGGACAAAGUUUGGACGAACUUGUCCAUGGAUCCGAUGGUGUUUCUGUGAUUCCGCGCUAUGUGAGCGGCUCUCUUUUUAGCCCACUGCUCUUCCGUCGUCGCUAGGCGCUCUGAGACGAGAUCGCCCCUCUUCUGAGCUCUUCCUCGACUGUGACCGAGGGGUAAACGAGAGGGUUUUCUCUUCUCAGUCACUUGUUCUCGGAGUAGGGAGGAGCGGGAAGCGGUUUGAUGCUUCAGAAGAUGAGCAGGUUAUUCGAUCAGUGAGCACUUGUUUGCUGGAGAGGUAUUGAGGCAUGACUGUGUAAUUCGUUGUGGAUUGUUGGCAAAAUGUUGGUACCAAAGCAAUAUCGAUGCACCCAUUCGGCUGCUUGCAUAUGCAUCAAAGGUCACCUGAGCGAGGAUGCCAUCUUUCUUGUUUUUGAGCAUCUGAACUGGAAUCCUAGAUUGAUUGCGCUAAUGUCGUGUGUUUGCAAAUGGUUUGAUGAGAUUGCCAAACGGAUAUUGUGGAAAGAGUUCUGUCGAACAAGGGCCCCAAAAAUGAUGCUGGAUUUGCAGUCCUGUGGAAGUCAUAGUGUCGAUGGAAACUGGAAAGCACUUGGAAAGCUUCUCAUCUAUUGUUCAGGUUGCAGCCAGAGGGGCCUCUUUAAUAUCACUUGUGUCCCAGGUCACUUUGUGCACAGGACUAGGUUUUCGAGGACUUCAGGAAAGAGCUUUCUUAUUCCGCAGUGCAGGACAGAUGUCUUGUAUGUGUGUGACCCUUGUGAACAUCUAGAUCAAGGAGAUGAUGGCGAUGUAGGAUUCUUCCGCGGUGUGUUCAAGUCAUUUUCUGCUUCGAAGGUUAGAAAGAUGCUGAUCGAAAGGCAGGCCAAACUCCACUCCACAGAGGUGUGUCCAUAUUGCAAGGCAAAAUUGUGGAACAUGAUGCAGGCAAAGAUGAUACCAAGGAGCGCUUGCAUCAGGUUGGGUGCAUAUGAUGAUAGUGUUGAGUGUUAUGUAUGUCUGAAUGGGCACAUGCUUGGAACAAGCUCUCUCCUGCCACUCUCUGAUUCUGACGAGGCAUCUGACUUUGAACAGUGCUCAAAAUUUGACUAAGGGAUUUCCAAGUUCGAAGGCCAAAACUCUGUUUGUGAAUCUUGGAGUGUUUUUGAUCUGCUUGGUUAAGGGAUAAAGAAAGGAAACAUGGUUUUCAACCGAAAGUCACUUGCGGGUACUAUGUUUGUAAGGUUGGCACAUCAUCAUAGUGAACAGAGAAGAAUGGAUGCAUUGAAACUAAACCUUGAAGCUUUACUGGGUUUUGGUGGAACUCAGUGUUCACAAGGACCAAGUUGGCGUAUCGUCUGCGAACACUGAAAUGAGUACGUAGAUAUACACUGGGGUCUGCAUAUUUGAUGGUAAUUUAGUCUUUCUCAUAAUGCAAACUAUGAUGGUAAUUAGGCAUGCUUUUGUCUUGAUGUAAACGUACAGCUAUAACAGAGAAGACCAAAUUUUCUA